rnacentral:rRNA from 1 species
GGAGUUAGGAAAUGUAGGUGCGAUAAUACCGUGCCUAUUUGACAAAGGCUCCAAAGGAAGCCACGGCUAACUCUGUGCCAGCAGCCGCGGUAAUACAGAGGUGGCAAGCGCUGUUCGGAAUUAUUGGGCGUAAAGAGCACGUAGGUGGAUUUGUUAGUCAGAUGUGAAAGCCUUUCGUUCAACGGAAGAAUUGCAUCUGAAACUACAAACCUUGAGUAUAGGAGGGGAGAGUGGAACUUCUGGU